rnacentral:rRNA from 1 species
CGUGCCUAAGACAUGCAAGUCGAGCGGGGCAGGUUUAUACCUGUUCAGCGGCGGACGGGUGAGUAACGCGUGGGUGACCUACCCGGAAGAGGCGGACAACCUGGGGAAACCCAGGCUAAUCCGCCAUGUGGUCCUGUCCUGUGGGGCAGGACUAAAGGGUGGAUAGCCCGCUUCCGGAUGGGCCCGCGUCCCAUCAGCUAGUUGGUGGGGUAAAGGCCCACCAAGGCGACGACGGGUAGCCGGCCUGAGAGGAUGGCCGGCCACAGGGGCACUGAGACACGGGCCCCACUCC